rnacentral:rRNA from 1 species
GAUGAACGCUGGCGGCGUGCCUAAUACAUGCAAGUCGACCGAACAGACGAGGAGCUUGCUCCUCUGCCGUUAGCGGCGGACGGGUGAGUAACACGUGGAUAACCUACCUAUAAGACUGGGAUAACUUCGGGACACCGGAGCUCAUACCCGAUAAUAUAUUGACCCGCAUGGUUCAAUAGUGAAAGACGGUUUUGCUGUCACUUAUCGAUGGAUCCGCGCCGCAUUAGCUAGUUGGUGAGGUAACGACUUCCCACGGCGACGAUGCGUAGCCGACCUGGGCGGGUGAUGGGCCACACUGGAACUGAGACACCGUCCAGACGCCUACGGGAGGCAGCAGUAGGGAAUCUUCCGCAAUGGGCGAAAGCCUGACGGAGCAACGCCGCGUGAGUGAUGAGGGUCUUCGGAGAGUAAAGCUCUGUAAUUAGGGAAGAACAAAUGUGUAAGUAACCAGGCACGUCUUGACGGUAGCUAAAAAGAAAGGCGCGGCUAACUACGUG